rnacentral:rRNA from 1 species
GAUAGAACGCUAGCGGGAGGCUUAACACAUGCAAGUCGAGGGGCAGCAUGGGGUAGCAAUACUCUGAUGGCGACCGGCAGACGGGUGAGUAACGCGUAUGUAACCUACCCUGUACAGGGGGAUAACCCGGAGAAAUUCGGACUAAUAUCCCAUGGAAAUAUUGAAAGGCAUCUUUUAAUAUUUAAAGUUCCGGCGGUACGGGAUGGGCAUGCGUAACAUUAGCUAGUUGGUAAGGUAACGGCUUACCAAGGCUUUGAUGUUUAGGGGUCCUGAGAGGGUGAUCCCCCACACUGGUACUGAGACACGGACCAGACUCCUACGGGAGGCUG